rnacentral:rRNA from 1 species
GUAAAGCGUGCGCAGCGGCUUGCAAGACAGAUGUGAAAUACCCGGGCUCAACCUGGGAACUGCAUUUGUGACUGCAAGGCUAGAGUACGGCAGAGGGGGAUGGAAUUCCGCGUGUAGCAGUGAAAUGCGUAGAUAUGCGGAGGAACACCAAUGGCGAAGGCAAUCCCCUGGGCCUGUACUGACGCUCAUGCACGAAAGCGUGGGGAGCAAACAGGAUUAGAUACCCUUGU